rnacentral:rRNA from 1 species
GGCCUGAACGCUGGCGGCGUGGCUAAGACAUGCAAGUCGUACGGAUGUAGCAAUACAUCAGUGGCGAACGGGUGAGUAAUGAAUCGCUAAUGUGCCCCGGACUCUGGGAUAGCCGGUCGAAAGGCCGGGUAAUACCAGAUGAUAUACCUUCAUCGCAUGAUGAGGGUCUCAAAGGUCCGCCGGUCUGGGAGCAGGCGAUUUCGUAUCAGCUAGUUGGUGAGGUAACGGCUCACCAAGGCGACGACGCGUAGCCGGACUGAGAGGUUGGCCGGCCACAUUGGGACUGAGACACUGCCCAGACUCCUACGGGGGGCUGCAGUAACGAAUCUUCCGCAAUGCACGAAAGUGUGACGGAGCGACGCCGCGUGGAGGACGAAGUUCUUCGGAAUGUAAACUCCUGUCAGAGGAAAGAAAGUUCUGAUCUACCUCAGAGGAAGAGGCGGCUAACUCUGUGCCAGCAGCCGC